rnacentral:rRNA from 1 species
AUUGAACGCUGGCGGCGUGCUUAACACAUGCAAGUCGUGCGGUAACAGGCGUAGCAAUACGUGCUGACGAGCGGCGAACGGGUGCGUAAUACAUGGGAAUCUGCCUUUUAGUGGGGAAUAACCCGGCGAAAGCCGGGCUAAUGCCGCAUAAGAUCUUCGGAUGAAAGCGGGGGAUCGUAAGACCUCGCGCUGAUAGAUGAGCCCAUGCCGGAUUAGCUAGNGGUGAGGUAACGGCUCACCAAGGCGACGAUCCGUAGCUGGUCUGAGAGGACGGCCAGCCACACUGGGACUGAGACACGG